UUUCCGUAGGUGAACCUGCGGAAGGAUCAGUGCCGAAUCGUUGGGGGGCUUGGUCGGGAGACUGGGGCCCUUUGAUGUCUAAUGCGUGUGUGGUGUGGCAGAUUAAUCAAGAGAUAAUGACAAAACUUUUAACAAUGGAUCUCUGGGCUCUU
rnacentral:misc_RNA from 1 species